rnacentral:rRNA from 1 species
AUACGGAGGGGGCUAGCGUUGUUCGGAAUUACUGGGCGUAAAGGGCGCGUAGGCGGAUUGUCAAGUCAGAGGUGAAAGCCCUGGGCUCAACCUGGGAACUGCCUUUGAAACUGGCAAACUAGAGUCCGAUAGAGGAUGGCGGAAUUCCCAGUGUAGAGGUGAAAUUCGUAGAUAUUGGGAAGAACACCAGUGGCGAAGGCGGCCAUCUGGAUCGGCACUGACGCUGAGGCGCGAAAGCGUGGGGAGCAAACAGGAUUAGAUACCCCUGUAGUCC